AUGUGCAGCCGUAGCCUCCUCGUUCGUCUUCUCAGGACUCCAGAGAACCGUUGGGGAACUUUGGGGUGUGCUCGGAAAAUGCAGGAUGCGCUGCUGUCACACAUGUCCACCACCACAUGUGACAUUAGUGACGUUAUCCUGACGUCACAGGAUCCAAGAAUGAUGAUCUGUGAAGAGUUUUCCAAGGUCACCUACUUCUAACUCUUUUGAAAGAUUUAAAGACAUUGGGCCUGAAAACUUCAGUGACUUGUCCAGGGAAACGCAGUUUGUGACAGUUCACUCUCUCACAG
rnacentral:lncRNA from 1 species